CUUGGUGAUUAGAGCGACGCGGCCCCACCCGUUCCCAUCCCGAACACGGAAGUGAAACGCGUCAGCGCAGACGAUACUAGGGCGUAAACGCUCUGCGGAAAAUAUGCCAUCGCCAGGG
rnacentral:rRNA from 1 species